UACGGGGGGGAGCUAGCGUUGUUCGGAAUUACUGGGCGUAAAGCGCACGUAGGCGGCUAUUCAAGUCAGAGGUGAAAGCCCGGGGCUCAACCCCGGAACUGCCUUUGAAACUAGAUAGCUUGAAUCCAGGAGAGGUGAGUGGAAUUCCGAGUGUAGAGGUGAAAUUCGUAGAUAUUCGGAAGAACACCAGUGGCGAAGGCGGCUCACUGGAGCUGGUAUUGACGCUGAGGUGCGAAAGCGUGGGGAGCAAACAGG
rnacentral:rRNA from 1 species